UCUUCCAUGAUUAUUUUCACAGUGACUUUCGUUCUUCUGAGUAUACUGAAGCCAACCUUUCUGUCCUGAGAAGA